CCCCAGCACCCCACAUUAUGCUCCACAAAGCUGGAAAUACACAACAAGCCGGCAUCUGUGUGGAAUAAUAAAAGCGGGUGUGGACGUGUCGUUCUCACAGGGCAUUUGGCUGAGCCUGGGCAACGCGAAAGCAUGCAUAGUUAACGCUCCUGACUGUGUGAAACCCUUUGUCGCGGCACCGGCUCUGCGAGGGACCCAGGGCCCGGGGCUUGGCAAGGGCCCGAGACAUUUCUUGGAAUGGUUUCUUGUUCAUCACUGACACUCGUAAUGAGAAAUUUAUACACCAUCCUAAGCGGAUAAAUUAAUUUCAAACACUUUAGACUUUGGAAGACAAUGGUUCCUGGCAGGACCCUUUAUCACCCAUUUUAUUAAAAAAAAAAAAAAAAAGAAAGAAAGGGGAGAGAAAAAAAACCCUCGGGACAUUGCAAACAAAACCCCUCUGCCCGGCUCUGGAGCUCACUGUCCAGGGCUGGGAGGACCCGCUCGGUCCCCAUGUGGGCCUGGGGCCUGUGGGUCACUGUGAAACUUCAUUAAAGGGUGUGCAGCUCCCCGGGCUGUCCCCUCACCCCUGCGGAGCACAGCUUCCGCUCACCCCUGGCUCCGUUUGAAGUUGGCAUUCUGGCCAAGGAGUUGGAUUUCUCAGGCUGCGUUUGUGAAAGGCCCUUGAGUGUCUCAAAUGCAGCAACAGGAGCUGCUGUUUCACACACAAUUCCAGGAAGAGCUCUGCUGGAUUUCCAUUCAAAUUCUGCCUCCACUCCCUCCUAGACACGUGGCCUUCGGCAGGUCAUGUCGCCUGUCUAAGCCCCUCAAAUGUAAAACAAGAAUAUAAAACUUCACAUGAGAGAGAAAGCAAAUGUAGCCAAAGGUUAGCAUUUGGUGAAUUUAGGAGUUCCUUAUGCUGUUCUUGUAGCUCUUCUGCAGAUUUGGGGAAGAGGGAGUUUAUAAGUGAAAGCACUGAGAUAUUCUGUAUUCUAGGCUUUAUGGUCUAAUACCACUGAGUUUAUUUUUUGAAAUAAAUAAUGCUGGACUCCUGAAAAAAAAAAAAGAAUAUCAAACUGCCCUAACCUCAUGGAGUGGUUGUGAGGAUUACGUGAAAGUUGGUUUAUUAAAAGCCUGAUGAUUUUUGUGUCCUGCUGAGUUGUUCUUUCUGUCAUCCGAAUAUUUGGUAAGUGCAUUCUCUAAGUCCUUAUUGAAUGCAUCGAUGUAAUUCUCUGGGGCAGGAGCAUUUCACAGGAACCAAGCUUGGAGCCACUCUGCUGGACACCUCAGCCAGGCUGACGUGGGGCCAGUGGUCAUUCCUGUUCCAAUGCAAUUAUUUAACCAGCUCAAAGUCCAGUGACCUGCUCUAAUGUCCCCUCAGCAUUUCCCCACUUCCUCCAUGAGCCUGGUGGAGCCUAGGAAUGAUCCAGGUGGAUGGUAUCACGGACCCAGCACCUCUAACAUGAGAAACUCUUGCAAAUACUUGCUUAAAAUAGACAUACUUUCCAUUGGCUGCUGCCUGUGACCUUUGAAGCUCUU
rnacentral:lncRNA from 1 species